rnacentral:tRNA from 1 species
GAGCGGUAGUUCAGUUGGUUAGAAUACCUGCCUGUCACGCAGGGGGUCGCGGGAGCGGUAGUUCA